rnacentral:rRNA from 1 species
UACAGGGGGGCAAGCGUUGUUCGGAAUUACUGGGCGUAAAGGGCCAGUAGGCGGCCAACUAAGUCCGACGUGAAAUCCCCAGGCUUAACCGGGGAACUGCGUCUGAUACUGGAUGGCUUGAGUUCGGGAGAGGAUGCGGAAUUCCAGGUGUAGCGGUGAAAUGCGUAGAUAUCUGGAGGAACACCGGUGGCGAAGGCGGCAUCCUGGACCGACACUGACGCUGAGGAGCGAAAGCCAGGGAGCAAACGGG